AAGAGAAAGAAAGAACAAAGAAAAAGAAAAAAAAAAAGGGGAAAAGAAAAAACAAUGAAGUUGGUUUUUCUUUGUGCUGUUUUGU
rnacentral:ribozyme from 13 species